CCGCCUCCCCUUCAACGCGCCACUCCCUCCCCCACCACUCCGUGCCACGCCCGCUCUCCACGCCCUGCCCCCGUGGGAAUGUGCAAUGGGGCGGGCAGCGCGCCUUGAGGCUGGCGCCCUGGUAGGGGUGGGCUGACCAGCCUGAUGGGGGCUGAGACUGCCUGGAACCCAAACGGAAGCUCCCUGGCCUAUGUUUGAAACCGUGAAUUCACCGGCUAGAAUGGAAAUGCCAGGUACCUGGGAACCUGGAAGUUGCCUUUUCAAUGCUGCCUUUCCCGUUCUCCCCUCCAUCCCUCUGGCUGCAACGAUCCUCCCUCUGGAACCCCUGGUCAGGCUCACUUCAGAGUGCCCCUUGGACCCUGCCUGGCUGAACCAUCCACACCUUGGUCAGGCAUCUUGGAAGGACUGCCCCAGCCGUGUUAUAAAAGGAGAAAACGUCACAGUGGGCAGCCCCAUUCCUGCGUUAUCCAGACAGGAAACUCAGGUGCUCAGGUCAGUGAUGCCCCCCCAAGCUGCUUUGGGGACCACACCCACACCGCUUCUCUGACGGCCCACACAGGCUGGUUCACCGCAUCCUUGUCCCACUGUGGGCCUCUUGACCUAAUCAACACAGGCAACAGGACCAGAAGUUCCCAGCAGUACCCCCAAAAUGUUAGGGAAGUUUGUGUAGGAAGGUGUUACACAACUUCAGCAUUUCUGCUCUACAAUGCAGCUCCUUUGGAACCACUUUUAACAUCCCUUUUUAAAUAUCCCUUUGGAACCGAGUUUAAUAAUUUGUUGCUGUUGGGAGUUACAAUAAUUCUGUUAAGUCAUUUUCCCAUUUAGUUUCUCUGAUAAUUCCGAGUUCUACAUUACUACCUGCCUCUCAGAUGAGUGCUGGCAGCCCCAGUUCUGUACAGGGAGGAUGCAAAACGGCAGAAUAUCUGUGGUGCAACUUUCUGGAGCAUCAGUUUACUACAAGAUUUGGAAGAAUAAGUUAAGUAAUUUCCAAGGUGCUGGAGAUAGUCCUGAACAGCACAGCUUAGGGUCCUGUGCCAUGAAGGAGCCUACACACUAGUCCUGGGAGAUGAGACAAGCAACAAGCAAGUAAAUCCUGGAAAGAUCAAGGUCACUUCAGAUGGUGAUGAAGCAGAGUCAUGUGAUUGAGAGAGCCCACAGGUCUGGGUGGGCCAUGGUCACCCUGGUUUAGAUUGGCUGGUCGGGGUAGGUCUCCCUAAGGAGGUAAGAUUCGAGUUUUCCAGGUAGGAGGUACACAGGAAGAAUGAAACCGUGAGGGUGGGAGCCCAUCUGAGUGCUGUGGCUGCCAGCCUGGAAAAGUGACUGAUGGGGAGAAAGGUAUCAGGUGAGUUCAGAGAGGGGGCCGAGGCCAGAUCACUUGCCUAACACUUUUAGCAUCUAAAUGUCAACAUAGGCACUUAAAGAUCACAAUCUGGGGGCCGGCCCUGUAGCUUAGUGGUGCAGUUCGGCAUGCUCUCCUUUGGUGGCCCAGACUUGGUUCCUGGGUGUCGAUUUACACCACUCAUCAGCCAUGCUGUGCUGGUGACCCACAUACGAAAUAGAGGAAGAUUGGCAACAGAUAUUGGCUCAGGGUGAAUCUUCCUCAGCAAAAACAAAAAAGCAAAUCACAAUCUGUUUUCAAAACUAUAAAGCAAAGUUGAGGUCUAUCCCAGUGGGGUGUUUUCUGUAGACCUACAUUGUUGGAAAUGCCUCAUAGAGUAAUUACGUGGUUUCCUUUACUCACAGAACUAUGUGUUAGAUCUGUGGGAAAGAAGUACAACACAGAGCUGCUAAAACUAUGAAAGACUUAAUGGUCAGUUUUUUUUUAAUCUUUGGCAUUGGUGUAUCCCGAGAUCUGUACUGUUCUAGGGUGAUAGCUUAGGAGUGAGUAUGAUUUGAACUUGCUCAUGUUUACAGGGUAUACAAUACUGAGAACCAGUUAGAUCCAUCGACUCUGACCCUAAAUGUGGCCCUAAGGUAAACUGGUUGAAGAAAUUGGAUCCUAAAGAUUACAGGUGGAGAAUUUUUAAAGGAUGUCCAUAUUCGAGGGAAGACCAAAGAAUCCCAACUGAAAGAAUUGUGAACUGACUGACAUGAUAGCCACGGAUUGAGCACAAUUUCUUUUUAAAAGGGCUGUCUUGAAGAUUAUGACUCAAACUUUGGAGGAACUAAGGAGGAGAGGAGCCCAUUUCCUUAGUUUCCCUCAAAUGCACUCCCCCAGCAAGUCUAUGUAAUUGUGAUAGACUGGUUAUUUGUGGAAAGAAACAGAAGUUUUAUUGCAUCUGCUUCAAACUUCAUAACGGUCAUCUCUGUUCCAACUGACAUUGGCCAUGCCCGCCUGGGGGUCAGCUGUCCACACUGUCCUCGUGGCCUUCAGCGCUGCUGCACUCUCUCUGACUCCUUCUUUCCUCUCUCUCCACCACCUUGGCCCCCAUCUUGGGGUUGUCACAGGAAGCUCCAGAUCAACCGUGCCCACGGCUGCCAUGUCACAGGAGCACCUUAAGGUUUCUCCUUAAGUGAUAUUUCUGUCUUGACAGGAAUUCUGCUGUUGGAUUAAAUUGUAUUCUCCUUGCCUUAUGAACUAUGAAGACUUUCUUGCAAGAUGUCGCUAAUUUAUUUUUCCUUUAGGCAAUAACUCUGCAGUGUGCCAUGCAUGUCACACACACACACUUUCAGAGAAAAUGUGUUCUAUAAAUGCAAAAUGACAAUGAUAAUUAUUAUUAGUCAUGAUUUCUUGUGAUGUUCUAGAAUUCAUCUGUGAAAUGAUCUGUUGCUGAGAAAUAGAAUGAGAGAUAUUUAAAACCUCCAAAGGAAAAGAGAUCGAGUUGAAAUGUGCAAAAGUCUUAUUUUAUUCAGCAACUCAGCUUAAAAAUGGCCUCGUUAAAAGGGCUGUAUCCACAUUUUCAGUGAGUGGAGAUCAAAAUUUAGUUAAUCUCUUGUCUUGAAAAUGUUUGGAACUUUUUGUCAUUGUAACAGAACCCUAAAAUAUGGUCUAUAGGUAGUCCUUCACUUUUCUGUACAUUCGAAUCAUAUGUCUCUUGUUCAGACUUCCACUUUUUAACAUUAUAAUUCUAGUGCCUUAAAUACUUUGAAAAAAACCCCAGAAUUCUGACUCCUCUAAGUCAGAUGGUAAACAUCUCAAGUUGUUAAAUGAUGAUUUUUCUGGCAGUCAACAUUUGAAUAUAAGUGCUGUGACCAUUUUUCAGAAAAAUGUAUGUGUAUUUAAAUAAUUUACGGAAUUUCUGCAUCAGUUUACAAAAGACAGUUUAAGUUAAGGCCCAGCUCUGGCGGGGUGUUAUUCAAGCUUGUCACCUGCUUGCAGGUUACUGCACUGUUCUGUGCUUCUGUCUCCUCAUCUGUGACAUGGGCAAUAACUCAUAGAGAUGUGUCAGAAUUAAGUGGGUGGACACAGGUGAGGUGCUUAGAUCAAUGCCUGGCAUGUAAUAAGUAUUUAAAAACGGUUAGCCAUUAAGAUAUAAAGCUAUAUUAUUAAGAUAUAAAAUUAUUAUAUUAAAGUUCACAGAAAUGGGGAAAUGAAAGUGCUACUGCUAUUGAGAAAACGUUAAAACCAGUGAGGAUUUAUCCAAAGAACAUGAAAACACGAAUGCAUAAAGAUACAUGCACCCCUAUGUUCAUCGCAGCAUUAUUCACAACAGCCAAGACUCGGAAACAACCUAGGUGCCCAUCAA